GGGAAGAUUGCUCAGUGGUAAGAGCUCUUGCUUUAGAAGCAUGCAGACCUGAGUUCAGAUUCCCAGCACUUGCCU
rnacentral:tRNA from 1 species